rnacentral:miRNA from 1 species
CUCUCCUUCAAAGGCUUCUA